UGGCCCCCAUGAGUAACUACAGACACACACUGGAAAAAGAAGUAAUAAAGAGAUCCUAACAGAUACCCACACAGGCACUUUCCUGCUGUUUUGGCUGUUGAACCUAAGCAAAUAGCUUUUUCUCUGUUUCUAUGUCAGUGGAGGACAUCAGAGCCCAAGGCCUUCCUUUACAGGCUGUGCCCCUGAGCGAGAGUACCCCGAGCCCACAGCGAAGUUCUUCAGUACCAGGGAGAGAUGAAGGCAGUAACAUGUUCCAUCUGUCAGCAUUUCGAGGAACUCACUCCUCCUACACUUUCUCAGUACAGGAGCCAUAGCUCAUGACAAACUUAGAGCAGGGCUAAUCAAGUCCCAAAUGAAGCUUUUGAUGUUUUCAUCCCCACGGUAGUGUAGAAGACAGUACACAAGGAUGGCUCGGCAUAUUGUCUCCACAUCUCUUUCAGUCAUGCGCCGCUUAAAUCGUCCAUGAGACAGAAUAUCUCUCCAACGUCCCCAACUAACAAAACAGGGGGAGCAAACAACACAAAUGUUUUAGGAGAGAUUCAAAUUCAGUGAUAUUUCCCUGGCUCCCAGAAUUGUCAUCUCCUCCAAAAGUAAAAAAUAAACAGACGCUCCCUUAUG
rnacentral:lncRNA from 1 species